rnacentral:ncRNA from 2 species
UAUAAUCUUCAGGGCAGGGUGUGAUUCCCGACCGGCGGUAAUGCGGCAAGUUCCGUUAGCCCGCGAGCGAAAGCAGACUCGGUUAGAUUCCGAGGCCGACAGUAAAGUCUGGAUGAAAGAAGAUUGAU